rnacentral:rRNA from 1 species
UACGUAGGGCGCAAGCGUUUGUCCGGAAUUAUUGGGCGUAAAGAGCUCGUAGGCGGUUUGUCGCGUCUGCUGUGAAAGUCCGAGGCUCAACCUCGGAUCUGCAGUGGGUACGGGCAGACUAGAGUGUGGUAGGGGAGACUGGAAUUCCUGGUGUAGCGGUGGAAUGCGCAGAUAUCAGGAGGAACACCCAAUGGGCGAAGGCAGGUCUCUGGGCCACAACUGACGCUGGAGGAGCGAAAGCAUGGGGAGCGAACAGG